rnacentral:tRNA from 1 species
GGCCUGAUGGUCUAGUAGUAUGAUUCCUUGUUAGGGUAAUACCAAUUCGAGGAGGUCCCGGGUUCAAUUCCCGGUCAGGCCC